rnacentral:miRNA from 1 species
AUUCCCAGUGGGAUGAGGCACA